rnacentral:lncRNA from 1 species
UUCUUGAGAACAUUGAAAAAACUUUUUCAAGGUAUACAAUGAAGGGUAUGCUAUAUCAAAUGAUUGAUGAUAGCAUGUCUGUCAGUAACAUGUAAUGAUACGAGAAUGCAUACAGCUUUCCCGAACAAAAUUACAAAAAUUAUCAAAUUAAAUUUCCAGUACCAUAACAUAGCCGACCCAUUCAUCCUCAAAUUGAGCAACUAUAUACAUUCCAAAUAUCUUAUCAGAAUCCCAAAAGUACUCAUUGGUUCGAGAAAUCUAAACACAUAGGAGAGCAUCAAUAACCAGCAAAAAAGUAACAAACAACCAACUUACUUCUAAUGAAUGUCAAGAACAUCAGUCCUCCCAGCCUUUUCCACAAUGACCCAGAGAGCAAGUGACUGUGGAUCCGGGAAAAGGCUGAGAGGAAUGAUGUGCCUGAUAUUGAUAAGAAGAAGUAAGUGGGUUGUUUAGUACUCUAUUGCUGGCUGAUCAAAAGUGCCCGUUGAUGCCUCAAAUUGAUCAGCUAUAUGCAUUCCAAAAAUCUUAUCACAAUCCCAAAAACACCCAUUGGUUAGAGAAAUCUAAAUACGUAGGAGAGCAAUAGGGUAACUAACAACCAACUUACUUCUUCUUAUCAAUGUCAGGAACAUCACUCCUCUCAGCCUUUUCCACAAUGACCUGGAUUUUCAGUCUUUUUAAAUAAGCAAACAUACUAAACUUGCAAAAGAAUAAGGGCAAGGAAAAGAAAGGUGUGAAGAGGACACUACUCACAGGAAUUCUAUCAGGAUACUUCUCCCUGAUACGAGAAGCCUCAGCUUGGCGCCUCUCUAAAUCGAAGUAAAAAUUAAAAAGCAGGCCAAGAUGCAAGAUAUUGAACUGAAUCACUAAUAUAAAUAUUUCUUCAAAGAUAGCAAGAUGAUGAGGACAAGCACGAAUCGCAUGACAAAGGUAUCACUCAACAGCUAAAAUACAAUCAUAAACAAAGAGUCCAAAGACUCCAAUAGGCUUUAAAACACUCGAAAAUUCAGAGACAAGCAUGGUAUCGCUGAGAGAACAUCAAAGUUCCCGUCCAUCACAAGCUAGCCAAGACUAAAUCACUACUAGUUCGAAACCCUAAAUAACCAAAUUAAACAAGUACGGUACGGUAGAGAACUAGAGAUCAGGCACAAUAGAACAGCAAGACAGCGAGAUCAGCUGGAAACAACAAGAAGAUCAACGGACCG